CCACGGGACUGGAGGAAAUCAACAAGGGCGGAAGUACAGGAGAGACAGAGAUGUCUGAGGACUGCGCCCCGCCACUCUCAGUGCCAUCAACACAGGGUCCCAAGAGUUCUCAGCCACAUCAGCUCCAAGAAGAACUUGUUUCAUUGAGGAUUUAGGGGAACUGUCUCAUUGGCGAAGAGAAGUUCUCCUCCCCCUGCCCCGAUGUGACUCGUUAAGGUUUGGGGUGCCCUGGCUCUUGGAGCUUUCAUCUAUGGUCUAAACCUUGAACACCAUAAACAUUAGGUUGGCAGUUCUUGGAGCUUGGGUAACUGCAUGCACAUGCCUUGUUCACACAUGUCCCAGUAUUUUUACUUACUCUGUUGAGGGAGUUUAUUCUUUCCUUUGAAUACAUUUCACUCCCACCUGUAAUAAACUCCCAA
rnacentral:lncRNA from 1 species